rnacentral:rRNA from 1 species
UACGUAGGGUGCGAGCGUUAAUCGGAAUUACUGGGCGUAAAGCGUGCGCAGGCGGUGAUGUAAGACAGAUGUGAAAUCCCCGGGCUCAACCUGGGACCUGCAUUUGUGACUGCAUCGCUGGAGUGCGGCAGAGGGGGAUGGAAUUCCGCGUGUAGCAGUGAAAUGCGUAGAUAUGCGGAGGAACACCGAUGGCGAAGGCAAUCCCCUGGGCCUGCACUGACGCUCAUGCACGAAAGCGUGGGGAGCGAACGGG